rnacentral:piRNA from 1 species
UAAUACACUUGCUGCUUUUAAUCGUACC